rnacentral:tRNA from 4 species
GCCCCUGUAGUUCAAUGGAUAGAACAGGAGACUUCUAAUCUCCCAAUAUAGGUCCGAUUCCUAUCGGGGGCACAA